GACGAACGCUGGCGGCGUGCCUAAUACAUGCAAGUAGAACGCUGAAGAGAGGAGCUUGCUCUUCUUGGAUGAGUUGCGAACGGGUGAGUAACGCGUAGGUAACCUGCCUUUUAGCGGGGGAUAACUAUUGGAAACGAUAGCUAAUACCGCAUAACAAUGGGUGACACAUGUCAUUUAUUUGAAAGGGGCAAUUGCUCCACUACAAGAUGGACCUGCGUUGUAUUAGCUAGUAUGUGAGGUAAUGGCUCACCUAGGCGACGAUACAUAGCCGACCUGAGAGGGUGAUCGGCCACACUGGGACUGAGACACGGCCCAGACUCCCACGGGAGGCAGCAGUAGGGAAUCUUCGGCAAUGGGGGCAAACCUGACCGGGCAACGCCGCGUGAGUGAAGAAGGUUUUCGGAUCGUAAAGCUCUGUUGUAAGUCAAGAACGGGUGUGAGAGUGGAAAGUUCACACUGUGACGGUAGCUUACCAGAAAGGGACGGCUAACUACGUG
rnacentral:rRNA from 1 species